ACAGAAGCGUUCAACACGGAGCAAACGAAGCUGCGGCUUCAGGGCCCUCGCUGUGCAGCCCCUUGCAGAGCCUCGAGUCUGACGGCCACCUGUCCCCGAGAAAGGCCGCUCCCCUCGCCCGCGUCUUUGGCGUGUCAGGCCCCACACACUCUGGAUUGGCCCUGGACGGGUCCUAGCCUUUUCUUUUUCUGCGGGGAUGGGUAAAUGUUGAGUGAGCAUUCGUGAUUGCACCUCCUCCAAUCAAGCUGUGGGAUAUCUUUGAGGAGAGCCAAGCUUUCAAGUAAAAGUGAAGAGCUGGAGAGAGCUUUGAAGAGGAGGAGGGAGAAAGAAGCACGGCCUUGCUACUUGGAGAGGAUCAGAGAAGACAGGAAAAAGGCAGUAGGAAAAGCAGCCAGAGGAUAGAGAGGCUGCUUACUAUUGUGAAAGAACACUGGAUUAGGAGUUAGACGAAAGACCGCGGUUUGAGUUUCUUCUUUGCCACCUAAACCCUUACAGGUUCUUUUCAUUUCCAUGGAAAGGUUAGAAUCAGCUUGUCAAUUUCCACAACAAAGCUAACUGGGAUUUCGCCCAUUUACAGAGGAUUGAAAGAUGGCCCCCCCAAAAAGUUGUGGCAUGUGGGAUGCUGCCUCAGCAUGGCCUGAUGAGUGGUGCCACGUCCUCACCCAGGAUCCGAACCGGCGAAACCCCUGGGCCACCGCAGCGGAGUGCACGAACUUAUAAACACUUGGUCACGGGGCCGGCCCCUCAAAUCUUUUUUAACCUUAGUAAUCUUUUGGGUUUUCUGAUCUCUCAUUUACUGAAAUAA
rnacentral:lncRNA from 1 species